GCGCAACCCCUAUCUUUAGUUGCCAUCAGUUCGGCUGGGCACUCUAUGGAGACUGCCACCUAAAGUGGAGGAAGGUGGGGAUGACGUCAAGUCAGCAUGGCCCUUACGUCCGGGGCUACACACGUGCUACAAUGGCCGGUACAAAGGGUUGCGAAGCCGUGAGGUGGAGCGAAUCUCAAAAAGCCGGCCUCAGUUCGGAUUGGAGGCUGCAACUCGCCUCCAUGAAGUCGGAAUCGCUAGUAACCGCAGAUCAGCUACGUUGCGGUGAAUACGUUCCCGGGCCUU
rnacentral:rRNA from 1 species